CUUUAUGAAGCUAGAUACAGUUUGACCUGCCCACUGAUUAAUUUAAGGGCCGCGGUAUUCCUAACCGUGCUAAGGUAGCAUAAUCAUUAGUCUCUUAAUUGGAGGCUUGUAUGAAAGGUUGGACGAGAAAUAUACUGUUUCAAAUAAAAAAUUUGAAUUUAACUUUUAAGUGAAAAGGCUUAAAUAAACUAAAAAGACGAUAAGACCCUAUAAAUCUUGACGGUAAAAUUAAUUUUUUUUAAUUUGUUAGUUUAAAGAAAUAAUUUAAUUAUACGUUUGGUUGGGGCGACAUAAAUAUAAAAUAGUUAACUGUUUAAGUAUUAAAACAAUGAUUGUUGAAUAAAUAAUGAUCCUGUUGUAGAGAUUAAAAGACUAAGUUACUUUAGGGAUAACAGCGUUAUUCUUUUUGAGAGUUCUUAUUAAAAAAAGAGUUUGCGACCUCGAUGUUGAAUUAAAAGUUCUUUAUGGUGCAGCAGCUAUAUAAGAAAGUCUGUUCGACUUUUAAACUUUUACAUGAUUU
rnacentral:rRNA from 1 species